GUGGGGAAUAUUGCACAAUGGGGGAAACCCUGAUGCAGCAACGCCGCGUGAGUGAUGACGGUCUUCGGAUUGUAAAACUCUGUCUUUGGGGACGAUAAUGACGGUACCCAAGGAGGAAGCCACGGCUAACUACGUGCCAGCAGCCGCGGUAAUACGUAGGUGGCAAGCGUUGUCCGGAUUUACUGGGCGUAAAGGGAGCGUAGGCGGAUUUUUAAGUGGGAUGUGAAAUACCUGAGCUCAACUCGGGUGCUGCAUUCCAAACUGGAUAUCUAGAGUGUCGGAGGGGAAAGCGGAAUUCCUAGUGUAGCGGUGAAAUGCGUAGAGAUUAGGAAGAACACCAGUGGCGAAGGCGGCUUACUGGACUGCAACUGACGUUGAGGCUCGAAAGUGUGGGUAGCAAACAGGAUUAGAAACCCGGGUAGUCC
rnacentral:rRNA from 1 species